rnacentral:rRNA from 1 species
GAUGAACGCUGGCGGCGUGCCUAAUACAUGCAAGUCGAGCGAACAGACGAGGAGCUUGCUCCUCUGACGUUAGCGGCGGACGGGUGAGUAACACGUGGAUAACCUACCUAUAAUACUUGGAUAACUUCGGGAAACCGGAGCUAAUACCGGAUAAUAUAUUGAACCGCAUGGUUCAAUAGUUAAAGACGGUUUUGCUGUCUCUUAUAGAUGGAUCCGCGCCGCAUUAGCUAGUUGGUAAGGUAACGGCUUACCAAGGCGACGAUGCGUAGCCGACCUGAGAGGGUGAUCGGCCACACUGGAACUGAGACACGGUCCAGACUCCUACGGGAGGCAGCAGUAGGGAAUCUUCCGCAAUGGGCGAAAGCCUGACGGAGCAACGCCGCGUGAGUGAUGAAGGUCUUCGGAUCGUAAAACUCUGUUAUUAGGGAAGAACAAAUGUGUAAGUAACUAUGCACGUCUUGACGGUACCUAAUCAGAAAGCCACGGCUAACUACGUG